rnacentral:rRNA from 1 species
AGUGAACGCUGGCGGUAGGCCUAACACAUGCAAGUCGAACGGCAGCACAGUAAGAGCUUGCUCUUACGGGUGGCGAGUGGCGGACGGGUGAGGAAUACAUCGGAAUCUACUUUUUCGUGGGGGAUAACGUAGGGAAACUUACGCUAAUACCGCAUACGACCUACGGGUGAAAGCAGGGGAUCUUCGGACCUUGCGCGAUUGAAUGAGCCGAUGUCGGAUUAGCUAGUUGGCGGGGUAAAGGCCCACCAAGGCGACGAUCCGUAGCUGGUCUGAGAGGAUGAUCGCCACACUGGAACUGAGACACGGUCCAGACUCCUACGGGAGGCAGCAGUGGGGAAUAUUGGACAAUGGGCGCAAGCCUGAUCCAGCCAUACCGCGUGGGUGAAGAAGGCCUUCGGGUUGUAAAGCCCUUUUGUUGGGAAAGAAAAGCAGCAGGUUAAUACCCCGCUGUUCUGACGGUACCCAAAGAAUAAGCACCGGCUAACUUCGU